rnacentral:sRNA from 1 species
UUAUUAAAUAUAUAUAUUUUAUAUAAAUUCAAAAUAAAUAGAGUAUAAGAUCAAAUAAAAGUGAAAGAAGAAUUAUAUAUUUAUGUUUAAAUUAGGUAGAAAUAUUUUAGGAAAUAUGGUUAGUUUAGAGAUAUUGUUUAUAUUAAAUUUGGUAAUUAAAUCAUUAAUUUUCGUUUUUAAUUAUUAGUUUGUAGUUAACUUUUCCAAAAAUUAAUGUUAUCAAAGAUCAGAACAGAAUUAAACAUGUUAUCCAAGAUCCGAACAGAGUUAAACCGGGUUAUACCCACCCAUUGCAGGUUUAAGAUUAUCAAAACUUGCAUCUUAAACACUAUAUAUAUAGAUUCAUUCCACCUUUUUGGAAAUUUAAGAUUAUCAAAACUUGCAUCUUAAACACUAUAUAUAUAGAUUCAUUCCACCUUUUUCUUCUCUAUUACACUAUUACUCUCAUUCUUUACCAAUCAAAACCUAAGGUGAUUUCUAUUUGGGAAUUCUUUAGCUCUCAAACCAGUUCUCACAGUCGUUUUAAGCAGAAGGAAAAUACAUAAUUACCAUCCUCCAAUUCUUUUAAAUUUAAGGCUCAAUGGUGUAGCUUUGAAUCCGCCGUAGAUCACCACAACAUCAUUUGCACAUUUUUGUUAUUUUGUUAAGAAAAAUGGUUGUUUACUUACCUAAAAGCGUAAAUGUAUUUUUGAAAACAUAGUAGCCGUAAACGUUCAUUUAUUAUAAAAAAAAGUUAAGGUAAACCAAUACAAGGUGCAAGUAAAAUUAAUAACCCAAUGAAAAAUGACAAAAUCUCAACAUGGAGACUUGAAACUAGGAUACAU